rnacentral:sRNA from 12 species
CCGCUCCGCGAAAAGUGGCCCUUGUGGCCGCCUGCCCCCAUCUAUAAGCGAUGGAUCGGGCUAGCGGGGUGGGUUGUU